rnacentral:rRNA from 1 species
UGAGGAAUAUUGGUCAAUGGGCGCAAGCCUGAACCAGCCAUCCCGCGUGCAGGAAGAAGGCGCUAUGCGUUGUAAACUGCUUUUCCAGGGGGCGAACCUCCCGCACGAGUGCGGGACUGACGGUACCUUGGGAAUAAGCAUCGGCUAACUCCGUGCCAGCAGCCGCGGUAAUACGGAGGAUGCGAGCGUUAUCCGGAUUUAUUGGGUUUAAAGGGUGCGUAGGCGGAUUAAUAAGUCAGUGGUGAAAACCUGCAGCUUAACUGUGGAACUGCCGUUGAUACUGUUAGUCUUGAGUAUGGUCAAGGUAGGCGGAAUGUGUAAUGUAGCGGUGAAAUGCUUAGAUAUUACACAGAACACCGAUUGCGAAGGCAGCUUACUGGGCCGUUACUGACGCUGAUGCACGAAAGCGUGGGGAUCGAACAG